rnacentral:rRNA from 1 species
UAAUACAUGCAAGUCGAGCGAGCUGAAUUCAAAGAUCCCUUCGGGGGGAUUUGUUGGACGCUAGCGGCGGAUGGGUGAGUAACACGUGGGCAAUCUGCCCUAAAGACUGGGAUACCACUUGGAAACAGGUGCUAAUACCGGAUAACAACAUGAAUCGCAUGAUUCAAGUUUGAAAGGCGGCGCAAGCUGUCACUUUAGGAUGAGCCCGCGGCGCAUUAGCUAGUUGGUGGGGUAAAGGCCUACCAAGGCAAUGAUGCGUAGCCGAGUUGAGAGACUGAUCGGCCACAUUGGGACUGAGACACGGCCCAAACUCCUACGGGAGGCAGCAGUAGGGAAUCUUCCACAAUGGACGAAAGUCUGAUGGAGCAACGCCGCGUGAGUGAAGAAAGUCUUCGGAUCGUAAAGCUCUGUUGUUGGUGAAGAAGGAUAGAGGCAGCAACUGGUCUUUAUUUGACGGUAAUCAACCAGAAAGUCACGGCUAACUACGUGCCAGCAGCCGCGGUAAUACGUAGGUGGCAAGCGUUGUCCGGAUUUAUUGGGCGUAAAGCGAGCGCAGGCGGAAAAAUAAGUCUAAUGUGAAAGCCCUCGGCUUAACCGAGGAACUGCAUCGGAAACUGUUUUUCUUGAGUGCAGAAGAGGAGAGUGGAACUCCAUGUGUAGCGGUGGAAUGCGUAGAUAUAUGGAAGAACACCAGUGGCGAAGGCGGCUCUCUGGUCUGCAACUGACGCUGAGGCUCGAAAGCAUGGGUAGCGAACAGGAUUAGAUACCCUGGUAGUCCAUGCCGUAAACGAUGAGUGCUAAGUGUUGGGAGGUUUCCGCCUCUCAGUGCUGCAGCUAACGCAUUAAGCACUCCGCCUGGGGAGUACGACCGCAAGGUUGAAACUCAAAGGAAUUGACGGGGGCCCGCACAAGCGGUGGAGCAUGUGGUUUAAUUCGAAGCAACGCGAAGAACCUUACCAGGUCUUGACAUCUAGUGCAAUCUGUAGAGAUAUGGAGUUCCCUUCGGGGACGCUAAGACAGGUGGUGCAUGGCUGUCGUCAGCUCGUGUCGUGAGAUGUUGGGUUAAGUCCCGCAACGAGCGCAACCCUUGUUAUUAGUUGCCAGCAUUAAGUUGGGCACUCUAAUGAGACUGCCGGUGACAAACCGGAGGAAGGUGGGGAUGACGUCAAGUCAUCAUGCCCCUUAUGACCUGGGCUACACACGUGCUACAAUGGGCAGUACAACGAGAAGCAAGCCUGCGAAGGCAAGCGAAUCUCUGAAAGCUGUUCUCAGUUCGGACUGCAGUCUGCAACUCGACUGCACGAAGCUGGAAUCGCUAGUAAUCGCGGAUCAGCACGCCGCGGUGAAUACGUUCCCGGGCCUUGUACACACCGCCCGUCACACCAUGGGAGUCUGCAAUGCCCAAAGCCGGUGGCCUAACCUUCGGGAAGGAGCCGUCUAAGGCAGGGCAGAUGACUUGGGGGUGAAGUCGUAACAAGGUAGCCGUAGGAGAACC